UCUUAUAGACUUUCCUGUCAGGGCUGGCUUUGAACUGUGAUCCUCAGAUCUCAGCUUUCUGACUAACUAGGAUUACAGGUGUUAUCCACUGGCACCGGGCU